AUUUGACAAUAUUUUUUUGGCAGAGUAUAAUCUUAUCAUGCCGAAAGGAAAAGCCAAAUUUCCUUGCGGGGAAUGCGGUGAAAAGCCGCAGCAGCUCACUCUACUGUAAGCAAAACGAAAUUCAGCACCACUGCCCAAAGGCGGGAAGGUGAAAAGUAGGCUUGCCGCAAAGCGGCGUGUUGCGAGUCAGGAUAUCCGCCGGAGGCAUAAAUUUUAA
rnacentral:ncRNA from 2 species